UACGUUGAAAGCAACUCAGUCAACACCGCGAGCUGAUGUUAAACUACAAAAUAUGGGGCCAGGUUAUGUGCCGUGUGCAUUUCAUCCAAACGAGGUGGCUGGAAAGGAACGCCCCUGGCACAUGUCCCCCAGGGUGCCCGUGGUGGCAGCGGCCAGCAUCCGCUCCCGGCUCACAAAGCGCAAAUGCCAACCUUCCUAUCAUGGAGUGGGCGCCCCUACCUUGGGCACCUGGGGAGACCUGCUGCAGGUGCAGCUAUGAUGUCUGUCUAUACCCGCAGGCCUGGGGACCAGUUCCCUGAGCCCAAGCCACCUUGUGCCCCCUCCUAGGCCUGCACAGAGCUGCCUGCGCAGCGCUUCACUCAGCUAGGGCCCAUAGCCCCUGGAGGCGUCACAAUGGCAGGAGCAGAGUGAGAGGUCAAAACGGCCCUGACCUGUGGAUGACCUCUGCGGUAGGAAGGCCAUCCUGCUGGCAGUAUGCAAAGAAACAGCAAUAGUGGCGACCACCACCGUCCAGGCCCCAGAGAGCACGAGCUCCUGUGCUGUCACGCGCCUCCCAGCACAGCUGUCUCAGCCUAGCCCCCCAGGGGUUCAGGGUAGGUGUUGUAUCCCUUCGACUGGGCAGCUGUCAGCUAAGGGAACUGUCGGAGGUAUGAAGGGAGGAAGAGGCGGCGCUGGGAUUCAGACCCAGGCCCAUCUGAUGUCAGAGCUCAGCCCUCUCUCCACCACGACAAGAGGCCUCCUCUCCACUCAUGGUGUGCAAUGUUCCGAUGAGAAUCACACAGAAUCCUAGGCAAACCUGGAGAAGGUGACCAUUCUGGUUACAUAAUGGGAGGGUUGGCUCCACCAUGGGAGCAGACGCCUUGUGCCCCAGGUGUCAGAACUCCGAGUUUCCUACAGCUUCAACACGGGGGUGCUUCUCUCUGCCUACUUGCCCCCUUCCCUGGAGAAGAGACACCCUUCAUUCCCCCAGAGCCACUGUUUUUCAACACCCGUUUUAAAGUGAGGCACCCUCUCUCUGGGAGAUUGCAAAAAUUAAAUCGUUUUUAAGCAACCAAACAACACUUCUGGGGUUUGUAAUAAACUUGUGAAAUUUGCGGAACUUGGCGGUUGAGGUUCCCUCUGUCCUGCUUCCCUGGGGCCCCGAGGAGCUUUGAGUUGGCUCCCCGUUCUCUCCAGUUUACCGUUGAUCUUGCCAACAGGGGCCAGGCCAUUGCAUGUUGGACCAAGGAGGCAAUGAGUUCUAAAACAAUCAAGGGGCUCUAGGAGGCCACGUCUGGUCUGAAUUUCUGGCUCUGCCUCCCCUCUGUUAUUGUGGGAAAGUCAUGCAAGCCAUAGGUGGGGGGUGGGGGCUUCCCUCUGCAGAGGCCAACCUGCUGUCUCUGCGGGGUUCCACCGUUGAGGGGGGCACACAGAUGGCAGCCAACUUCCCCUGUGUGACCAUGCUCUGUCCCCAUCAACCAAAUGACCCCAGGGAGCCCUGAAGGGUGGCACACACUUCAUUUUAUGACACUCUGCUUCCUCUCCCAUGCGGAGGCCCUCUCCAUUCAUGGAAAAUGGCAGCAAAGCGAUUUCCAUGCAUCAGCUCUUCCUGGGCCUUGUAUCUCCUGGUUGAAGCAGAGUGCACAAGGCUGGGUAUGUUUCUGGCUCCUCCAAACUCUCAGCUGGAAACUCAGCUCCGUGUGGUCAGGACUUGGACAGUGUCAAGGGCAGUAGGAUGAACAUAACUUUAUAACUAACCUUCCCGUGCUGUGUAAGGGCCUUUGACACAACAGAGGGAGCCCCCUCUCUCUGCAAGAGGACUUACGGGGAGCAAGGAGCCAAGAAGGUAAUGCCCUUAUGUGUAUCUCUUCAGAGAAAACCCCCUGGAGUCUGGGCCAGAGGGCUGGGUGCUGGCCCUAUCUGGACCCUUUACCAGCCAUGGGUGUUGUACUUUCUCAUCAUUUAUACAGUGGGGAGACUAACGGCACCUGCCUCGUGGAGCUGUCAGGAAGAUUAGAAGCACAGGCGCUUAAAGCAGUGGCUGGCACAUGCUAACUGCAGCGGGGAGAGGACACACCAAGCUAUUCCUUGUGUGUCCCACGUGCUGCCUUGGUGACUGAUCCCAGGUGCUCAGAACUGCCCGUGCUGUGCUUGGACACCCCACGAGCCCGCACUGUGCUAACCCGAGGAGUGUGCGUUUCUCCAUCAGCUUGUCCAGGACUGCAUGACGCCACCAGCCAUCUCACCUCUCCCGGAGCUGCUGGUUAAGACUCCAGGGAUGUUUUUCAUCAAUGAAGACUUUAGGUUCUCUUAGGAUUGGGAGGCAGCUGGCCUUCGUGGCCUGCAGCAUUCGGGCUGCUCCUGUGGCGGACACAGCUCCAGUGGGUUCGGGAUUCUUCCCACGUUCCUGGACCACCACCAGUGCUCAAGGCUGGGCUUCUGCCUCCCACACGAUUCCUUCGCUUUCAGACAACCAUCAGUAGCAACACAAGCGUAAACGCAAAGUGGAUGGUCCCGUGAAUCCACCACCCUCCAGAUCACUCCCUCUGGUGAUAUCAGACGCUGAUGUUCUGGAAAGACUUCCAUCCACACGGGGGACGCCAAGGUCUCCCUCUGGGGGCUCAUCAUCCUCAGAAACUCAUCCUUCCCUGGGACUCCUUCCUUUCCCCAAACAAGAUCUGAACCAGCCUGGAGAAAAAGAUGUGCCCGUGAGCCUCAUGAUUGGAAGGGCCUUUGUCACGCGGAGUUCUAAGCUCGGUGGCCAAUACUAUUCCAUGCCCUGGGGUUACAGCCGUCUGACCUCUCGCUGCCCUAAUUAUACUCUAGAAGAACGACAGCUCCUUCUAGACAUCCAGCCACUAAACAAUCAGAUAAUGCUUUUCUGCUACUGGUACCUAGGAUUGAAUGCAAGAGGUUUGGAACUUUCCAGAAAAGAAUAUUGUUGUGUAUCACAGAGAGGGUACAAGAGGAAGCUCUCGGAUCGGACAGACUCAGGUGUCUCCAAACCUAGAGGAAUCUGCGGAUCUGUGAAGGGGUUUUUGUGGUGUUCAUGACUCUCCUGCUGUCAGAUUUGCAGAAGAUAAAACAGAAAAAGGAAAGCGACUCCUCCCUUAUAUUAAAAAUAAAUAAGAUUUUAAAUUUCUAUUUAA